GGAAAUUUUGGAGGCGAUUUUCACCACAUGGAAUGGGUUUCGAGCCGUUCGGAGGUUGAUAUGCGUGGGAUGGCAUUCCUAGAGUAUGGGUUGGCUUGCUCGGUAUUGGAUUUGGCUUGCUCGAGGUUUGGGCCUGGGAGCAGUUUCUACAAUUGCAGCCACCUCUACCACUAUUAUAUCUGGGUGUACCACCAGCGUUGCUCCCUCUAGCUAGGAGGUGGGUUCUCCGGCAGGGACAUACGCGCGAGUACGAGGCUCAGCAUAGUCUCUCCUUGUGCAGGGAUAUUUUGGAUUUGCUGGAUGGCGCAUAGUUCAUCUGGACGUCAUACAUCGACGUAUUGAUAGUUGGCUUGCCCAGUUAUUGCUCGGCCGGCCGGCUUAUGUGGGGCUCUUCUGUCCCAUUGAUCUGCCUUGAUAUAGUGGAGCAUCAUGCCACCAAGCGGGUAUUUCGCCAAUUUGGCAGUUCACAGCUCGUAUCAGUCACGACCCUAAACUCGGACCCGGUCAUGAUGGCGCCUCUCGUGAAGACAAGGCGAGCCGAAACAUUCCCAUUUUAUUUUAAGCAAUUAAAUAAUAAGUAAUUAGUCUUAAACAUGAUAAAAUUCCAAAAUAAGCAGUGAAUAGUGCAAUUUGCGGAAUUAAAACCAACACAGCCCGACAUUGGGUGUCACUAGUCAUGAGCAUCAAACAAUGUACUACAAGUAUGAAGAGUCUAUCAAGCUAUUACAGAAUCACUAACAAGAGAAAGGAAAUGAGAUAAAGGGGGAGAAGCACGGGGCUGCGAACGGAGAGCAGCUAUCUCGUGAACUCCGAACCCUACCGGGAGCACUCAACCCUCGCAAGCAGGAUCAGCAGCGCCUGAAUCUGAACACCGGGUGCAGGGAGUAAAGUGAGUACUCCAACUCAGUGAGUAAUAAUCAUAAAUAAAGACUGAGAAGUAAAAAAUCACGUAAACAUCACAGGCUAUAAGAAAGCAGUAAAAGCCAGUAAAAGUCAUGAAACCGUGAAAUUAUGCAAAGUCACUUUAGUUUAGUUUAAACUUCUUAAAAUCCCUUUUUAAACAGUUAAACAAGUAAAAGACACGUAACUAGAAAAGGUAAAUACAUAAAGAAAUGCCCCUCGGGCACAAUACCAACAGAAUCAGCCCCUCGGGCAACACA